CGGCCUGCGCGGAAGAUGUAACGGGGCUAAACCAUGCACCGAAGCUGCGGCAGCGACGCUUAUGCGUUGUUGGGUAGGGGAGCGUUCUGUAAGCCUGUGAAGGUGGCCUGUGAGGGUUGCUGGAGGUAUCAGAAGUGCGAAUGCUGACAUAAGUAACGAUAAAGCGGGUGAAAAGCCCGCUCGCCGGAAGACCAAGGGUUCCUGUCCAACGUUAAUCGGGGCAGGGUGAGUCGACCCCUAAGGCGAGGCCGAAAGGCGUAGUCGAUGGGAAACGGGUUAAUAUUCCCGUACUUGGUGUUACUGCGAAGGGGGGACGGAGAAGGCUAUGUUGGCCGGGCGACGGUUGUCCCGGUUUAAGCGUGUAGGUGUGUGUUCCAGGUAAAUCCGGUUCACUUUAACACUGAGGCGUGACGACGAGGCACUACGGUGCUGAAGCAACAAAUGCCCUGCUUCCAGGAAAAGCCUCUAAGCAUCAGGUAACAUCAAAUCGUACCCCAAACCGACACAGGUGGUCAGGUAGAGAAUACCAAGGCGCUUGAGAGAACUCGGGUGAAGGAACUAGGCAAAAUGGUGCCGUAACUUCGGGAGAAGGCACGCUGACACGUAGGUGAAGUGAUUUACUCAUGGAGCUGAAGUCAGUCGAAGAUACCAGCUGGCUGCAACUGUUUAUUAAAAACACAGCACUGUGCAAACACGAAAGUGGACGUAUACGGUGUGACGCCUGCCCGGUGCCGGAAGGUUAAUUGAUGGGGUCAGCGCAAGCGAAGCUCCUGAUCGAAGCCCCGGUAAACGGCGGCCGUAACUAUAACGGUCCUAAGGUAGCGAAAUUCCUUGUCGGGUAAGUUCCGACCUGCACGAAUGGCGUAAUGAUGGCCAGGCUGUCUCCACCCGAGACUCAGUGAAAUUGAACUCGCUGUGAAGAUGCAGUGUACCCGCGGCAAGACGGAAAGACCCCGUGAACCUUUACUAUAGCUUGACACUGAACAUUGAGCCUUGAUGUGUAGGAUAGGUGGGAGGCUUUGAAGUGUGGACGCCAGUCUGCAUGGAGCCGACCUUGAAAUACCACCCUUUAAUGUUU
rnacentral:rRNA from 1 species